rnacentral:rRNA from 1 species
GAUGAACGCUAGCGAUAGGCCUAACACAUGCAAGUCGAGGGGCAUCACAUGAGGCAGCAAUGCCGAUGGUGGCGACCGGCGCACGGGUGAGUAACACGUAUGCAACCUGCCUUCAACAAGGGGAUAACCCGUUGAAAAACGGACUAAUACCCUAUAAUACAGGGGUCCCGCAUGGGGAUAUUUGUUAAAGAUUGAUCGGUUGAAGAUGGGCAUGCGUUCCAUUAGCUGGUUGGUGAGGUAACGGCUCACCAAGGCAACGAUGGAUAGGGGAACUGAGAGGUUUAUCCCCCACACUGGUACUGAGACACGGACCAGACUCCUACGGGAGGCAGCAGUGAGGAAUAUUGGUCAAUGGACGCAAGUCUGAACCAGCCACGUCGCGUGAAGGAAGACGGCCCUACGGGUUGUAAACUUCUUUUGUAAGGGAAUAAGUGUAGUACGCGUACUAUUUUGCAUGUACCUUACGAAUAAGGAUCGGCUAACUCCGUGCCAGCAGCCG